GACGAACGCUGGCGGCGUGCCUAAUACAUGCAAGUAGAACGCUGAAGGAGGAGCUUGCUCUUCUGGAUGAGUUGCGAACGGGUGAGUAACGCGUAGGUAACCUGCCUGGUAGCGGGGGAUAACUAUUGGAAACGAUAGCUAAUACCGCAUAACAGUAGAUGUUGCAUGACAUUUGCUUAAAAGGUGCAAUUGCACCACUACCAGAUGGACCUGCGUUGUAUUAGCUAGUUGGUGGGGUAACGGCUCACCAAGGCGACGAUACAUAGCCGACCUGAGAGGGUGAACGGCCACACUGGGACUGAGACACGGCCCAGACUCCUACGGGAGGCAGCAGUAGGGAAUCUUCGGCAAUGGACGGAAGUCUGACCGAGCAACGCCGCGUGAGUGAAGAAGGUUUUCGGAUCGUAAAGCUCUGUUGUAAGAGAAGAACGAGUGUGAGAGUGGAAAGUUCACACUGUGACGGUAUCUUACCAGAAAGGGACGGCUAACUACGUG
rnacentral:rRNA from 1 species